rnacentral:rRNA from 1 species
GAUGAACGCUAGCGGCAGGCCUAAUACAUGCAAGUCGAGGGGCAGCGCGGUAGCAAUACUGGCGGCGACCGGCGCACGGGUGCGUAACACGUAUGCAACCUACCUUCAACUGGAGGAUAGCCCGGGGAAACUCGGAUUAAUACUCCAUAACACAGGGAUCCCGCAUGGGAAUAUUGUUAAAGCUACGGCGGUUGAAGAUGGGCAUGCGUUCGAUUAGCUAGUUGGUGUAGGUAACGGCUCACCAAGGCUACGAUCGAUAGGGGGUCUGAGAGGAUGAUCCCCCACACUGGUACUGAGAUACGGACCAGACUCCUACGGGAGCAGCAGUAGGGAAUAUUGGUCAAUGGGCGCAAGCCUGAACCAGCCAUGCCGCGUGCAGGAAGAAGGCCCUCUGGGUUGUAAACUGCUUUUGAUAGGGAACAAAUGCCACUUGCGAGUGGAGCUGAGUGUACCUAUAGAAUAAGCACCGGCCUAACUCGUGCCAGCAGCCGUAC